CUCAUCUGAUUUUGCUGGUCAACAUUUUUGACUGCAGUUGCAAGUGUUUGCUGUGCAGUACAUCUUCAACCUGCAGUAUCAAGAGGCGGCUUGUUGCACGUUAGAGUUUUUUCAAAGUUUUUUCAGUUCAUCAUCUGAAACACUGUCAAAUUUGGUUUUAUUCGCAUGCCAGACACGGAGAAAAUAGGAGAAAG